GAUGAACGCUGGCGGCGUGCCUAAUACAUGCAAGUCGAGCGAACAGACGAGGAGCUUGCUCCUCUGACGUUAGCGGCGGACGGGUGAGUAACACGUGGAUAACCUACCUAUAAGACUGGGAUAACUUCGAGAAACCGGAGCUAAUACCGGAUAAUAUAUUGAACCGCAUGGUUCAAUAGUGAAAGACGGUUUUGCUGUCACUUAUAGAUGGAUCCGCGCCGCAUUAGCUAGUUGGUAAGGUAACGGCUUACCAAGGCAACGAUGCGUAGCCGACCUGGGAGGGUGAUCGGCCACACUGGAACUGAGACACGGUCCAGACUCCUACGGGAGGCAGCAGUAGGGAAUCUUCCGCAAUGGGCGAAAGCCUGACGGAGCAACGCCGCGUGAGUGAUGAAGGUCUUCGGAUCGUAAAACUCUGUUAUUAGGGAAGAACAAAUGUGUAAGUAACUAUGCACGUCUUGACGGUACCUAAUCAGAAAGCCACGGCUAACUACGUG
rnacentral:rRNA from 1 species